UAUGAGCGAGUUCAGUUGGCAGAAUACCGGCCUGUCAUCGCGGGGGUGGGGUUCGAGUCCGUCCCUCCGCUCUUAACCA
rnacentral:tRNA from 1 species